rfam:Pseudomonas fluorescens SBW25 complete genome
UACAAAGGGCGUGGUUCGCUGUCGUUGACAGCCCAGCCCAGGUAGCCAGAACCUUCAAGGCUACGCCACGUUCGUGGUGGUUUACCCAAGUGUGAUCAGCGUUCGGAAGCUCGCACGGUUACCGCUUCAGCGGUGAUGAAUGC